UUUGACGCAGCCAUUUAAAGUUUUCAAUCAUGUGGCUUAUGAAAGGGAAAAUCUAAACCUGAAGAAAUACAAAAUCAGGAAGAUGGAACUGCCCAAAGCAGCACCAAUAUUCUCCAUCCCUACACUACCUGGAGGAUCAGUACAGGCAAGAUCUUUGGUUCUCAGCUUGUACAGUCAGUAUGGAUCUCCUCUUAACCGUUACCAUCACACAGAAGAUAAAGACUCCAAGCAUGCGCUCCCUGAAAGGCACACCCA